GAUAACAUCAUAUGAUCUGUUUUUGAAAAAAUUGUGAGCUGCAACUUUUUGGUUUACUUGAAAUGUUGGAAUGAAAAGCAGGUAAAGCAUGUCAAUUAAUAUUAGUAAAAACAAUACUUUGCUAUACUUACAUAGGAGGAAUCUAUUAAAACCUAGGUGCUAACUUAUAUUUGAUGAAAAACAAAGCCUGUUUUAACAGAGGGGUGUUCAGAUCUCUGCUCUUGUACAGCUGUUAUUAAGCAAACUAGACAGCAAGAUAAUCAUACUGUCAGUUUCAACCUUUAUCAUGCAUACCUUUUCUUAAUGCGAUUUUUUAUUGCUGGAUUUAUUCUUUGUGCUUUCUAGGACAGUAAUUGCAUCUUGAGGUGUAAGUGAGAAAUACUGUAAACAACUGGUGUACUCGAAAGAGGGUGUCGCAGGACAUUGGUCAUGUCACUACAUUGUGAACUGCUGCCUAGAAGCCAGCUGCUCUUUUUGAUCACUCCAAAAAGGGUUAUUUUGAGGUAGUUAAUAUUCGAGGCAUGUGUACAACUAUUGCCAAAGGCAUCACCCUAUAGAAUGAACUCAUUUUGCUUCAUAAAGCUGAAUAAGACCUGCUGAAUCAUUUUAUGUUAACAUAUUAAAUUACAUACCGCUUUGUUGAUUCCGGUAUACUUAACAAAAAACUGACCAAAAAUGUGUGACAUUUAACAAAGCUGUCUAGCCUGUUCUUAUAAGAAAUGACAUAGACAUUGUUUAGCAGUGGGCUGCACAGUGUGUGCUUCAUUUUUAUCGAGCCCUGCAGUAGGAAAUCCUUACCUCUCUGACAGGUGGCCAGCCAUUCUUGGAGCGCUCGUUUUAGACUUCAGUCUUGGCUGGAAAUUGACCUCACAACCACAGCUAGAGCCAGCUGUUUCAAACUCUUAAGCCACCUGCUUGUUGAAAUCAUGUAUGCUUCCACUAAAAUAGUUUCAUCUCUAGAAUUAUCCAUUUAGAAAAUGUAUUCAGUGUUAACAAUGUACCUGUUACAUAAGACAAGGGCAUUACUUUUAAAAACAAAAAUGAAAGACACUUGUCUUAGGUAUGUACUGUACAUAUUGAUUACUGCACACUGUUGAUGAAUGUAUUCAGUGCUUCUCAAAGGUGGAGUGCUGUUGAGUGAUUGCCCCUGUGCCAAGGUUAUCACAGUUUCACUAAUUAGCAGGAAAUGACACUGCUGAUGCAACUCUCUGCCCUUCAAGGAAGAAUCAAAUUCUGUGGCAUUCUCUUGCAGUUGCUGUAAAGCAGCAUACAGGUGAUAAUGAGAACAGGGAUAGUGCAAACAACAGCAACAUCAGCAUCCCGUAUUGCCUGACCAGCAACCUGCAAUCACCCUCUUCAAUAAUACCGUGUGAGGGAACAGAUAUUCAAUUCUUUUCUGCAAGUGGACCACGAUCCUGUUCACCUCUUGAAGCUGAAAUGGACAACACACAAUAUCAGUCGGAC